rnacentral:rRNA from 1 species
CCUGCGGAAGGAUCAUUAAAGAAAUUUAAUAAUUUUGAUAUUGGAUUUUUUUGUUUUGGCAAGAGCGUGAGAGCUUUUACUGGGCAAGAAGACAAGAGAUGGAGAGUCCAGCCGGGCCUGCGCUUAAGUGCGCGGUCUUGCUAGGCUUGCAAAUUUCUUUCUUGCUAUUCCAAACAGUGAGACUUCUCUGUUUUUGUUAUAGGACAAUUAAAACCGUUUCAAUACAACACACUGUGGAGUUUUUAUACUUUUGCAACUUUUUCUUUGGGCUUCGAGCAAUCGAGCCCAGAGGUAACAAACACAAACAAUUUUAUUUAUUCAUUAAAUUUUUGUCAAAAACAAGAAUUUUCGUAACUGGAAAUUUUAAAAAUAAUUAAAAACUUUCAACAACGGAUCUCUUGGUUCUCGCAUCGAUGAAGAACGCAGCGAAAUGCGAUACGUAAUGUGAAUUGCAGAAUUCCGUGAAUCAUCGAAUCUUUGAACGCACAUUGCGCCCCUUGGUAUUCCAGGGGGCAUGCCUGUUUGAGCGUCAUUUCCUUCUCAAACAUUCUGUUUGGUAGUGAGUGAUACUCUCUGGAGUUAACUUGAAAUUGCUGGCCUUUUCAUUGGAUGUUUUUUUUCCAAAGAGAGGUUUCUCUGCGUGCUUGAGGUAUAAUGCAAGUACGGUCGUUUUAGGUUUUACCAACUGCGGCUAAUCUUUUUUGUACUGAGCGUAUUGAAACGUUAUCGAUAAGAAGAGAGCGUCUAGGCGAACAAUGUUCUUAAAGUUUGACCUCAAAUCAGGUAGGAGUACCCGCUGAACUUAAGCAUAUCAAUAAAGCCNGGGGGAAUAU